AUUGAACGCUGGCGGCAUGCUUUACACAUGCAAGUCGAACGGUAACAGGCCUUCGGGUGCUGACGAGUGGCGAACGGGUGAGUAAUGCAUCGGAACGUACCCAGAGGUGGGGGAUAACGCCGCGAAAGCUGUGCUAAUACCGCAUGUGAUCUGAGGAUGAAAGCGGGGGACCGAGCAGCAAUGCUUGGCCUCGCGCCUUUGUAGCGGCCGAUGCCGGAUUAGGUAGUUGGUGGGGUAAAGGCCUACCAAGGCGACGAUCCGUAGCUGGUCUGAGAGGACGACCAGCCACACUGGGACUGAGACACGGCCCAGACUCCUACGGGAGGCAGCAGUGGGGAAUUUUGGACAAUGGGCGCAAGCCUGAUCCAGCAAUGCCGCGUGCGGGAAGAAGGCCUUCGGGUUGUAAACCGCUUUUGGAAGGAACGAAACGGUGUUGGUUAAUACCGGGCGCUAAUGACGGUACCUGAAGAAUAAGCACCGGCUAACUACGUG
rnacentral:rRNA from 1 species